UGGGGAAUAUUGGGCAAUGCCCGCAAGGGUGACCCAGCAACGCCGCGUGGAGGAUGAAUGUCGUAAGAUUGUAAACUCCUGUUAGAGGGGAAGAAUAGUACCGGUUGGACCGGUAUAUGACUGUACCCUCAGAGAAAGCCCCGGCUAACUACGUGCCAGCAGCCGCGGUAAUACGUAGGGGGCAAGCGUUGUCCGGAUUUACUGGGUGUAAAGGGCGCGCAGGCGGGAUAAAAAGUCAGUGGUGAAAUCCUACAGCUUAACUGUAGAACUGCCUGUGAUACUUUGAUUCUUGAGUUCGGGAGAGAGAGACGGAAUUCCAGGUGUAGUGGUGAAAUUCGUAGAUAUCUGUAAGAACACCAGUUGCGAAGGCGGUCUCUUGGUCCGACACUGACGCUGAGGCGCGAAAGCGUGGGGAGCAAACA
rnacentral:rRNA from 1 species